GCACUCAAAAGUCCUCCUUGUCAGAAAAAAAAAAAAAAAACAAAGAGUGAGGGAGAUUACAAGGACCUGUUUUUUUCCACCUCCACCGCCACCGCCACCUCCUCCUCCUCUACUACCUCCUCCUCCUCCUCUUCCUUGGCAGAAACUUGCUGGCCAAAUGGCUCUGCGUGCCCCUGGCUAGGGCAUGGUGGUAGCAAUGAUGGUGAGCCCAGCGAUGUCAGGAGCAGUUGCCAGGGACCAGGUGUGCAAAGGUGGCUUCUCUGGGGAGGUCUGGUGGUGAGCGCUGCUCACCGCUCAUAGUUCUAGUUCCAUUGGACACCCAAGAGGAGCAUGUCUCCGUGGCCCUGUAAGGCAGCAGCUGGCGGGUCCCAGCGUCUUCGUGACCCUGUGUGAUGCGUUGCCUGUCCCCUGAUUGGCUGGCUAGCGAUUGUUAGCUGUUUUGCAAGUGUCUUGUCAUCAAUAGAUGGUGUGUCUUCUCCUCCCUAUAUAAGGGCCAAAGGGUGGCAGUGGGAGGCAGAGUGUUGGAGACGGGAGACGGCAGAUGGUAUUGCAACUGGCAGUGUCAGAAUAGGAGAAGGUAGCGGUGGUGGAGGAGGAGGAGGUGGAGGUGGAGGAGGCCGUGGAGGUGGAGGAGGCUCUGGCGGAGGAAGAGGCUGUGGACGAGGAGGAAGAGGCAGCCUACAAGUAAGAUUAGGCGGUGGUGGAGGACGUUGUGGACGAGGAGGAGGAGGCGGUGGAGGACGAGGAGGAGGUGGUGGAGGACUAGGAGGUGGAGGAAUCAUAGGAUCAUUAGUGUUGGAGGAGACCUUCAAGUUUGUGCUGCAAGUGAAGCCACAGAAAUUUUCAAAUCCUUCUGCUGCCCCUCAGGGCAUUGCCUCAGUGCAGCUUCAGUCUUGGAGACAGCAUUUGUAAUUGAGGCAGGGGUUGGCAGGAGCAUCCUGUGUGAGGGACCUAAGACCCCAGCAAGGCUGUUGGGGCAUCAAUUGCCAAUUCCUUUUCACUGAAGAUGAGCAUGGAAAAGUGGUGUUUUAGAAAGGAUGCUGACAAACAUGGGAAGUUGAGGAAUUUCCACACUCAAGUCUACAGCCACAAUUCUCCUUCUGUCACCAGCAUUGCACACCGGUGUCUGCUGUGUUCUCACCUCUGCACUUGAACAGCAGAUACCCUCACUCCUUUCAGUGCGGACAGGGAGGAUUGUAAAGACCUAACGGCAUAACAUUGCACUCAAAAGUCCUCCUUGUC